UAAGAAAGCAAAGCCCAGAGUAGAAAUGGAAGAUAAAAUCCACAUUAAAAGCUUCUUGUGGUUAAAAGGAUGUUUUAUACAUUUCACAUUUUUUACGCUGCCACUUUCAGUAGAGUUUGUCUGACCAAGAAGAGGUACUAAUUGUGAGGUCUGACUUGGAGCCGAGCCCAUUUUCCUAUUGUCUCUGCACGGAGCAGGGAUCUCUCUAGCUAACGAGGUUAGCACCCAAGGGCUGCUGCAAAGCCAAAGAGCUGGCCAUCGUCCACGCUACACAGAUAAAGAAAGCGAAACAUCUUGCUGAAAGCCACCCGAUCGCUGUGAGGGUAAACCAGGGUCGGAGAUGAAGAAAGAAACAGAAACCGCCAACGACCGAAUCUGCCCCUAUAGGACGUAAAACGAGCCAGCGGAAGCUUUGCGGCCAGACCAAGAAACGAACGGAGACCACCCACAAACAAAACAAGAUAAGAAAAGAAAUAUAGCUGUA